rnacentral:tRNA from 3 species
ACUUGAGUAGUUUAAUAUAGAAUAAUAAUUUGUGGAGUUAUGGGUAUCAUCUAAGAUCUUAGGUC